CAGGUGGGGAGACAAAAAUGCCUUCUAUGUCUUUUCUUCUCAACUGUGAAAUCUACAGACAUUAAUAACACUGCAGAGAAGCUUUCUUGUCCUUUAUAGCCAGCAGAUUGUGGAUCAUGGACUUUCACAUGGUAUCUGGUGACAGCAUGGAACACAGAUAUCAACAUGGCAUCAGGCAUGAUGCUGAAAUGACAGUCACCUUUUUAAAACAAUGUUCAUCAAAGAGUAUUCUAUUGGCAUGUAAUCUGUCUUCUUCAUGUCGUCGUUGACUACACAUCAGAUUUUGAAAGCUUUAAUCUGAGGUGGUCUAAUAGGAUAAAGAGACUUAUUUCAACUUUCUUGUAUCUGUUGAGACUUGCCUUAUGAUCAACUAUGUGGUCCAUUUUGAAGAAAGUUCCAUGAUAUGGGUUCACUACCAGCUCCGCACACUGCACCACAACCAUAUGUUAGACAUCUACCCACCAGCCUCUAAUUUCCUGUCUUCCAUUGCUUUCCCUCACUGUAAACCUAACAAAGAAUGUUAGCAAUAUGGGAUAUGGAACCUGAAAUGGGCACCUCCUGUAACCAGGAAAAGAUGCAGAUAGUUCUAUGACAACUUGAUAUGCCAAGGCUGGAUGAUACCAAUGGGAGGCUUCCUCUUUUAUGGGGAGAAAGGGAGAGUGCAAUUGAAGGAGGUGAGAGGAAAGGAAUGGAAGGAGAGGAUAGAGGUAAUAUGCCAUUGUGGACUGACAGUCCAUGCAGAACCAGACAAAAGGCGAUUAAUUCAUCCAGCUGCACUCUGCACAGAGGUAAAGAUUCAUCUCAAUUGUGAGUGCAAUUAUUCUCUGGACAGAAGAUUCAGAACUUUAUAAAAUGGAUGAUGCAUUGAGUACCAAGUUCAUUCAGAGGCCUCUGCCAUGACUGUGCAUGUGGAAUGGCUAUGCGCUCUAGUUCCUACCACCUACACCUUUCUCUGUGAUGGUCUUUUGAUGUAUCCUGAACUAUGAGGG
rnacentral:lncRNA from 1 species